rnacentral:rRNA from 1 species
UUAGAGUUUGAUCCUGGCUCAGGAUGAACGCUGGCGGCGUGCCUAACACAUGCAAGUCGAACGGGUGUACGGGGAGGAAGGCUUCGGCCGGAAAACCUGUGCAUGAGUGGCGGACGGGUGAGUAACGCGUGGGCAACCUGGCCUGUACAGGGGGAUAACACUUAGAAAUAGGUGCUAAUACCGCAUAACGGGGGAAGCCGCAUGGCUUUUCCCUGAAAACUCCGGUGGUUGAUGAUGGGCAUGCGUUGUAUUAGCUGGUUGGUGAGGUAACGGCUCACCAAGGCGACGAUACAUAGGGGGACUGAGAGGUUAACCCCCCACAUUGGUACUGAGACACGGACCAAACUCCUACGGGAGGCAGCAGUGAGGAAUAUUGGUCAAUGGACGCAAGUCUGAACCAGCCAUGCCGCGUGCAGGAUGACGGCUCUAUGAGUUGUAAACUGCUUUUGUACGAGGGUAAACCCCGAUACGUGUAUUGGGUUGAAAGUAUCGUACGAAUAAGGAUCGGCUAACUCCGUGCCAGCAGCCGCGGUAAUACGGAGGAUCCGAGCGUUAUCCGGAUUUAUUGGGUUUAAAGGGUGCGUAGGCGGUUUGAUAAGUUAGAGGUGAAAUGUCGGGGCUCAACCCCGAAACUGCCUCUAAUACUGUUGGACUAGAGAAUAGUUGCGGUAGGCGGAAUGUAUGGUGUAGCGGUGAAAUGCUUAGAGAUCAUACAGAACACCGAUUGCGAAGGCAGCUUACCAAACUAUAUCUGACGUUGAGGCACGAAAGCGUGGGUAGCAAACAGGAUUAGAUACCCUGGUAGUCCACGCAGUAAACGAUGAUAACUCGUUGUCGGCGAUACACAGUCGGUGACUAAGCGAAAGCGAUAAGUUAUCCACCUGGGGAGUACGUUCGCAAGAAUGAAACUCAAAGGAAUUGACGGGGGCCCGCACAAGCGGAGGAACAUGUGGUUUAAUUCGAUGAUACGCGAGGAACCUUACCCGGGCUUGAAAGUUAGCGACGACGCUUGAAAGAGCGUUUCCCUUCGGGGCGCGAAACUAGGUGCUGCAUGGUUGUCGUCAGCUCGUGCCGUGAGGUGUCGGGUUAAGUCCCAUAACGAGCGCAACCCCUACUGUUAGUUGCCAUCAGGUGAUGCUGGGCACUCUAGCGGGACUGCCGGUGUAAGCCGAGAGGAAGGUGGGGAUGACGUCAAAUCAGCACGGCCCUUACGUCCGGGGCCACACACGUGUUACAAUGGUAGGUACAGAGGGCAGCUACCCUGCGAAGGGGUGCGAAUCUCGAAAGCCUAUCUCAGUUCGGAUUGGAGGCUGAAACCCGCCUCCAUGAAGUUGGAUUCGCUAGUAAUCGCGCAUCAGCCAUGGCGCGGUGAAUACGUUCCCGGGCCUUGCACACACCGCCCGUCAAG